rnacentral:rRNA from 1 species
AUUGAACGCUGGCGGCAAGCCUAACACAUGCAAGUCGAACGAGUGGCGGACGGGUGAGUAACACGUGGGAACCUACCCCUCAGAGGGGGCUAACACUUGGAAACAGGUGCUAAUACCGCAUACUGAUGGAUGGACACGCGGUGCAUUAGCUAGUUGGUGAGGUAACGGAGCACCAAGGCCACGAUGCAUCGCCGACCUGGUAGGGUUAUCGGCCCCACUGGAACUGAGCCACGGUCCAGCCUCCUACGUGAGGCAGCAGUGGGGAAUAUUGCACAAUGGGCGCAAGCCUGAUGCAGCCAUGCCGCGUGUAUGAAGAAGGCCUUCGGGUUUUAAAGUACUUUCAGCGGGGAGGCUUUACCCGCAGAAGAAGCACCGGCUAACUCCGUGCCAGCCGCCGCGGUAAUUC